GUGACAGCCCUGAAGUCCUCUAACCACAGAAUAGGUACAGCACAGGCAGCUGAAAUGCAAGGUCCCGGUCACCCUUCUUUCUUGGAGAAGGCUACCUCUUAGUCUUAGGGUAGUGUAGUCUCCAUGUCCUUUCAGGCCAUGGUGCAU
rnacentral:sRNA from 1 species